CACCGCGGUUAUACGAGAGACCCGAGUUGUUAGACACCGGCGUAAAGAGUGGUUAAGAUUGACUCAAAACUAAAGCCGAACGCCCUCAGAGCUGUUAUACGCACCCGAGGGUAAGAAGCCCAACCACGAAAGUGGCUUUACUCUAUCCGAAUCCACGAAAGCUAUGAUA
rnacentral:rRNA from 1 species